UGGACAUGGAGGCUGCCUUGGCUUAGCUUGGAUGAACCAGAGGGACCUGCAUAUGAGCCAUGUCCACCUCUGAUGGGAGACAAGGAUAAGCAAUGCUUGCAGAUAACAGAAACAUCCUGGGAUAAGAUGAGAAAACUGAGGCUCGUGGCGAGGGGGCGAGGGAGCAAAGCAGCAGGCCCAAGAUUUGCAGACUUUGAAGAUGGUUCAACAAUGCAGUAAAAGGCAGGUCUUUGCCACAACAAAAGGCAGAAAUAUCACCAAGGAGUAAACAGAAUUCCUUGGCCUCCUCGGAGCAUGUGUCAACAUCUUUUUCUUCCCCUUCCCCCCCCCUUCUUUUUUUUUUUUCUGUAGAUUCAGGGCUUGUCGGGGAGGGCGCCUCCCAGGCACUGGUGGGGUGGGCCGUGGGCCGCCCCGAACCCGGCAGCUCCGCCUCAGAACAGAUGCUGGGGCUUUGGUAAACCGAGAAAGCGUAACUGCCGCGAGCCACUCUCCUGACGGCCACAAUUACCCACAUGGAAAAGCCAUUCCA